rnacentral:rRNA from 1 species
GCGUGAGGGAUGAAGGCCUUCGGGUUGUAAACCUCUUUUACCCGGGAAGAAGCGAAAGUGACGGGACCUACAGAAUAAGCACCGGUUAACUAUGUGCCACCCGCCG